GACGAACGCUGGCGGCGUGCUUAACACAUGCAAGUCGAACGGAAAGGCCCUGCUUUUGUGGGGUGCUCGAGUGGCGAACGGGUGAGUAACACGUGAGUAACCUGCCCUUGACUUUGGGAUAACUUCAGGAAACUGGGGCUAAUACCGGAUAGGAGCUCCUGCUGCAUGGUGGGGGUUGGAAAGUUUCGGCGGUUGGGGCUGGACUCGCGGCUUAUCAGCUUGUUGGUGGGGUAGUGGCUUACCAAGGCUUUGACGGGUAGCCGGCCUGAGAGGGUUACCGGCCACAUUGGGACUGAGAUACGGCCCAGACUGCUACGGGAGGCAGCAGUGGGGAAUAUUGCACAAUGGGCGGAAGCCUGAUGCAGCAACGCCGCGUGCGGGAUGACGGCCUUCGGGUUGUAAACCGCUUUCGCCUGUGACGAAGCGUGAGUGACGGUAAUGGGUAAAGAAGCACCGGCUAACUACGUG
rnacentral:rRNA from 1 species